GACGGAGGAUGCAAGUGUUAUCCGGAAUCACUGGGCGUAAAGCGUCUGUAGGUGGUUCGAAAAGUCCACUGUUAAAAAUUGAGGCUUAACUUCAAAGAUGCCGUGGAAACUUUCAAACUAGAGUAUGGUAGGGGUAGAGGGAAUUCCCGGUGUAGCGGUGAAAUGCGUAGAGAUCGGGAAGAACAUCGGUGGCGAAAGCGCUCUACUGGACCGCAACUGACACUCAGGGACGAAAGCUAGGGGAGCGAAUGGG
rnacentral:rRNA from 1 species